UUAUUCUUGCUUGCUUAGGCUCUUAUCUCUCUUGACCUAUCAAGAUAGAUAGGCUAUCUAUAGUAUAUGAAUAAAUGUAUAAGUUCAUCAACAAGCUGUCUUUAUCUCCACUUCUAUUCACUAUUUCCACUUAGAAACCCUCUACGUUUGUAUACGAUAAAAAUUUGGACUGUUGCCUUGUCAAAUUUGCGCAGCUUAUUUGGGAAGAAGGUUGAUCUUUGAUAUAUAAAAUAUGGCUUACUCUUUCUUCAAUCGGGUUUCUGUGGUUCAGUAAUAGAUGUACUGCAAAUAAUUGGACUGUUGCUUAGUAGUCAUAUUAAGAUUCAGCUCAUCUAUCUAGACGUCAAUUUUGCAAAUCAUAGACCAAUUGCCAGAUGUAAAAUAGUAUUGUUGAAAGGAAAAAUGGAAAGUUCGCAAAUAAAUAAACAUCUGAAACUUCUCUUGAAGGGCCAAACCUUGUAAAUACAGUAUUAGUCUUUCAGAUAAAUUCCUUGGGAAUUACAGAGUCUGACAGGACUAGUGCAUGCUUAAGCACGUUAUGAAAAUACCAUACAACUGAAAAUUGACAAACUUAAAAAUGUGGAAGUGGAGUACCAUGGAAGAUGUAUAGGAGUAAAAGAACUACACCAAAAAAAAGAAGAAGAUGAAAGUCAAAAUAGCACAGCACUCAAACAUGUGAAGGAUUAGAGAUGCAAAAGCAUCAAGUGGCAGUUUAGGUUCUAUUUCAAAGGUUGCCCGCUAUUUUGAACCGCCAAGCUCAAAAUAAAAUCUGGAACAAUCUUGUUAUGUACUUUUUUUUAUGUGAAGAGAAGUUUCUUUCUAAGUUUCUUGUACCCUCAAAUCAUCUUCAACUUUUUUGUUUUUGUUAUGUAUUUAUUUAUUUAGUUCUAUAUUUUGAGUCAAAAAGUGAGAAGAAAUGGGUCUCAGUCAAAUUCAUGUUAGGAAAUGUCUCCAAAGUAUCCAAUUUGUGACAGUCCAACUUAAUCUGUCAUAAGAUAUCUCUAAGGAUCUGAAGGAUAAGUGGUUUUUUUCCAGCUUGUUUUGUAUUUCCUUCUUUUGUGGGUCAAUUAUUUUCAAUCCUUGUCGAGACUAGUGUGGAUGGAUAUACAUGUGCAGUGCUAUGGAAUUUGGUGUUUAUCACUUGGAUCUUAAACUUUCUCUUUAUACUUGCAGGAUAGCGAAAUGCAUCGUGGGAAGCCAUUGUAUCUAAAUGAGGAACGCUAUGCUGCCUUAACUCAUAUGGUGGCUUCUCAUGGACUGGAUCGUAGUUCAAAGGUGCUUCGUCAGACGAAUAUUGGCACUUUUUUCAUGCUUUAGUUCGACUGUUUCGUAAGGUUAACUAGGUCCCAGGAAUUAGUCAGAGAUGGUAAAAAGUUAUCAGCUGUCUGGUUCUGAGUUUUGACUCAGACACAGCAUGUCCAAUGUUCUGCGGUCUGCUACUGUCUAAUAUACAGAUUAUCAAGGUUAGUCUAUAAUUUUGA